UACGGGGGGGGCAAGCGUUGUUCGGAAUUACUGGGCGUAAAGGGCUCGUAGGCGGCCAACUAAGUCAGACGUGAAAUCCCUCGGCUUAACCGGGGAACUGCGUCCGAUACUGGAUGGCUUGAGUUUGGGAGAGGGAUGCGGAAUUCCAGGUGUAGCGGUGAAAUGCGUAGAUAUCUGGAGGAACACCGGUGGCGAAGGCGGCUACCUGGACAGAAACUGACGCUGAGGUGCGAAAGCGUGGGGAGCAAACAGG
rnacentral:rRNA from 1 species